ACUCAUGUGUUCCCAAGAAUGUAUUUUAUGCUGAACAUUCGAAAAGCCACUUCCUGGAAGAACCCCACAGCUCACACCAAGAUCCCCAUCCAGGGUGUCAGGGGCACAAUCUGAGCUCUCUGGAAGAAUUUCUCCAAUUUUUUUCCAAAUGUAUUUCAGCCUGUGUAACCACUGUUCCUCGAAAUGGCCUUCGAGAAAUGCUGAACUAUAAAUGCAGUCACAAAGAAAAGGGCACACAGCAAUACUCAAGAGAUGGGAGAGGCUUCUGGUAAGACAAGGCUACCAGUGAAAAGUCAGCAGUCUACAACCUGGAAGAGGGCCCUCCCAAUCCAACCAUCUGAGCACCCUGACAUUGGAUUUCUAGUCUCCAGGUUAAUGUUCCCAAAGCAGGAGGACAGAUGACAGAAGAUUCUUCUCUGGAGGAACCUAAGGGCCUGAUAAAUGCCUGCAUGUAUUUACAUUUGGUGAUUCUUCCCUUAAAAAGGCUGGAUUUUCAUUUUAUCAUCUUACAGUAAAGCCCACUAUUUUUUUCUGUCCGUCAUCACUCUUGCCCAGUGAGACCAAAUCAGGCUUUUAUUACCGCACCUUUAAAGCUGAAUAACUGCUUAAAGCUUGGCAAAAAUUUAAGAAAAGCCUCUAUCAUGAAAGAGAAAACCAAAACCAAAAUAAAUAAAGAAAACAAAAAACCAGGAAUAGGGACACUGAAGAAAACAGAGAUAAUGAAGGGAAACAGAAUAAAAUGUAAAAAUCAGAUAUUUAAUAUACUUGCAAGAGAAGAGAUGUUAUUGCAUCUAUUAAGCUAUAUUACACUACUAUUAAAAAGGAAAUAAGAUUGUGGAUAAAAUGAGAGUUCCUGUGGCCAGGAUUCUCACCUGGCCAUGGUUGAUUAGCUCACUACACACCUGUGGGCAAUACAUGGCUGUUGAAUCUAUAAAAAGAGACCCACCCAGUAUUCUGGGCACAACACAGUGGCAGGGCUGCAAGGCUGCAGGAGAGCAGAGCAGAGCAGAGCAGAGGCUGGAG